rnacentral:lncRNA from 1 species
CUUUCUUAAUAUCAAAAAACUAAUGACCUAGAAUACUAUAUAACAAUUUGGAAUUUAUAUAAAUUGAGGUUAAUUAUGCUUUAAGGAUUAACCUACCUAGAGAUAGGCUGCAGAGAUGACUCACUGCAGAGACAAAAUGAAAAAUGCCUAUGCACGCGGAAGAGAAAAAUAUAGAGGAGUGCGGAAGUUGGAAAGCCACAAAUUAGCGCCUCGAAGCCACAGAGAUAUUUUAAAGGAUUUCAGCUAAAUAGAUGAGUAGGAAAGAUGGGAGGGUUUGAGAAGUAGAUUUCCAAUUGGUCGAAAGAAAGUGAGUCGAGCGAAGAGGCGGAGCGAGAAGAAUUCGAAAAAUCAUGGAGAAGGCUUCGACUGAAUACGAGUUGGCCAAAGUCAGGAGGGUUUGGGAAUAAUGCAUAUGAUCGACCGGCCGUAGGAUUUCGAUCGAAAAGUUGAAUGAGAGAAUCUCAGGUUGGACGAGUGAGGAGGCGAACUGAGAGAGAGUCAGAAAAUCCUGGAAGGAGGCAGUCGGAAAAUCGGGAAGGAGGCAGUCAGAAAAUCGGGAAGAGCCUUUGACAGAAUACAGGUGGAAAACUGGG